GUGAAUCAUCGAAUUUUUGAACGCAAAUUGCACUCUCCUCUGUUACGAUGCCUAUUUGAGUUUCAGCAUCUAUAAAUCGACCUCCUUGCUGUUUCGCGGUGGCGAUCGUCGGAAAUUGGGUCAUCUUAAUUCCUUUUGAUAUAUGCGACUUAAAGUUUUCUUUUGGUUCCAUGAACUUUUCUAAGAUCUAUUUCUUUACACGUUUAAGGUAUUGUUUUUUUCUAGACGUGACCAUCAUAUCGUAUCGCUUACAUAAUCUUUCAUUAACUGACCUC
rnacentral:misc_RNA from 1 species